UACGGAAGGCAGCAGUGGGGAAUAUUGCACAAUGGGCGCAAGCCUGAUGCAGCCAUGCCGCGUGUAUGAAAAAGGCCUUUCGGGUUGUAAAGUACUUUCAGUCGUGAGGAAGGUGUUAAGGUUAAUAACCUUAGCAAUUGACGUUAGCGACAGAAGAAGCACCGGCUAACUCCGUGCCAGCAGCCGCGGUAAUACGGAGGGUGCGAGCGUUAAUCGGAAUUACUGGGCGUAAAGGGCACGCAGGCGGUUAAUUAAGUUGGAUGUGAAAUCCCCGGGCUUAACCUGGGAAUGGCAUUCAAGACUGGUUAGCUAGAGUCUUGUAGAGGGGGUAGAAUUCCAUGUGUAGCGGUGAAAUGCGUAGAGAUGUGGAGGAAUACCGGUGGCGAAGGCGGCCCCUCGGACAAAGACUGACGCUCAUGUGCGAAAGCGUGGGGAGCGAAACAGGGAUUAGAUACC
rnacentral:rRNA from 1 species